rnacentral:tRNA from 1 species
GAGGUUAUAGCUCAGUGGCAGAGGACUCACCUUGCAUGUGUGAGGCUCUGGGUUCCCCACCCAGAACCUCA